rnacentral:rRNA from 1 species
GACGAACGCUGGCGGCGUGCCUAAUACAUGCAAGUCGAAAGCAGUUGGGACGGGUGAGUAACACGUGGGUAACCUCCCCAUCAGAGGGGAUAACACUUGGAAACAGGUGCUAAACCGAUACUGAUGGAUGGACCCGCGGUGCAUUAGCUAGUUGGGGAGGUAACGGCUCACCAAGGCCACGAUGCAUACCCGACCUGAGAGGGUGAGCAGCGACACCGGGACUGAGACACGGCCCAGACGCCUACGGGAGGCAGCAGUAGGGAAUAUUCGGCAAUGGACGAAAGUCUGACCAAGCAACGACGCGUGAGUGAAGAAGGUUUUCGGAUCGUAAAGCUCUGUUGUUAGAGAAGCGGUAUAUAACCAGAACGCCACGGCUAACUACGUGCCAGCAGCCGCGGUAAUAC